CCUACGGGCGGCAGCAGUGAGGAAUAUUGGUCAAUGGACGAGAGUCUGAACCAGCCAAGUAGCGUGAAGGAUGACUGCCCUAUGGGUUGUAAACUUCUUUUAUAUGGGAAUAAAAUGUUCCACGUGUGGGAUUUUGUAUGUACCAUAUGAAUAAGGAUCGGCUAACUCCGUGCCAGCAGCCGAGGUAAUACGGAGGAUCCGAGCGUUAUCCGGAUUUAUUGGGUUUAAAGGGAGCGUAGGUGGAUUGUUAAGUCAGUUGUGAAAGUUUGCGGCUCAACCGUAAAAUUGCAGUUGAAACUGGCAGUCUUGAGUACAGUAGAGGUGGGCGGAAUUCGUGGUGUAGCGGUGAAAUGCUUAGAUAUCACGAAGAACUCCGAUUGCGAAGGCAGUUCACUGGACUGCAACUGACACUGAGGCUCGAAAGUGUGGGUAUCAAACAGGAUUAGAGACCCGGGUAGUC
rnacentral:rRNA from 1 species